GGUGACGUGCCCGAGUGGCCUAAGGGAACGGAUUGCAAAUCCGUGAUUCGCCGGUUCGAAUCCGGCCGUCACCUCCA
rnacentral:tRNA from 1 species